GUAAAUAAAAAAAUACUGAAUGCCAAAAGUUCCAACUUCCUAAUCUGGAUCUCCUGCAGGUUCAAAUAAAGAUAUAUAUGUCAACCAAGAAUUUCUGAAGAUGCUAAAUUCAAAAAGAAUGCCAAUGUAAUAAAGGAUUAUGAUAUUACUGGAUAGUUUUAGCAUUGACAAUGACUACAUUUCUAAAAUAGGAUGGAUGCUCACUCAUUUAGGUUGUUCCUUGACAGCAAGUUUAGAGAGUUAAGAGGAAAUAAUUGACUGAGGGUGGAUGAAAAGAUGGCAUUAAGCUAACCUUGUUAGUGUUUGAGUGGUAAGAACAUAAAGUGGAGGAUCAACAAGUUUGAUUUAACACUCUCAUCAGCGUGCUAGCUGCAAGAAGAGCAACAAAAAUGAGAGGUUUCAGUGAAAAAUGAACCAUCCAUAACCAAGUUUUAAUAAUCAUCAGUGUUCAACACAAAUGAAGCUGGCAAGUCAAAGUUUUGAAGCAGAGGUGAAAGCAUGUAAUGGUCAAUCUAUAUUUGUCAAAAAACCUCAAAAAGGAUUUCAAACACUAAGUAAGACCAUUUUCACCAAUAAAAAGCAACGUUUUACCCUGAAAGGCUAGCGUUGAACCAUGGUAUCUGAAAAAACUUAAAGAAAGAGAAAUGAUUGUAAAGAAGCAGUGACUAAGAACAUUACAUACUAUGAAUUUAUAUUCAAUGCACCCUCUGUAAAUGGUUAUCAACAUGGAAAUGAAACGAUCCUUAUAUGACACAAAUGAUAAAUUUUGAAUUUGGCAAUUGAAUCUUCAUAUCCUUAUAUGAAGUUUGGUCGACAUAUGAAAAUGAAAGAAAACUAAAGCUACAUGGUUCCAAAGGUAGAAAGCUAGUUAAUGUCUUCGUGCACACAUUUUUGGAAAAAGUUCACAUCUCUUCGCUAGGUGGAUAUACUGGCAAGCUUGAUAGAUCACAUGAAUAAGGCUUUGUGGUGAAAUACUGAAAGUUGAAGAUUAAGAGGGUCACAUCUCCAUACACAUCGGACAUGGGCAACAAAGUACAUAAGGUUUUAUAUAAGAACCUGGAAGCUGCCUACUAUUAAGCUACUCUAAAACAUCUAAAAUUUUUAUUUUAACUAUACAGAGUUCGAUCUAAGCUUCCAUCAAGGUUAAGGUAGUUUCGGAUUUUACGUAGAAGUUCACUGUUCAUCUCUCAUCACUAGUACACGAUAUUGUCAGAUAAAAGUUUCGAGCCCAACCCACGAUACAGGCAUAUAUAUAUGAUAGAAAUAGCUUGAAAUGCCGACCUGACUUACCCGUAAGUUUGUAUGUUGCCUUAUGUAUGCACCUUUCAAGCUUAUUAAGCUGCUUCUACAUAUAACAUUGCAUAUUCAAGUUUAGUUUCUAGGAAGCAACAUUGCGAAAUGGAUAACACACAAUUUGAUUCACAAUUACAAUAACUUGAAACAAUUGCUUAGCACCUCAUUAACUUUAGAUGGCAGAAGUGCGACUGAAAACAAGGUUUUCAAAUUCAAACUUUGGUUUAGUGCCACUACAUAAUCAAUUCCAUGCCCCAGAAACGCGUUCAUCCACUUGCUGAAAAUUAUAAAUAUAUAUUUCUAAUUAUUAUAAAUAUAAAAAAAUUUAAAAAUUAGAACAAUAUAUAUAAUCACAAAAAUUAUAAAAAAAAUUAUGAAAUAUAUAGAAAUACAAAAAAAUUAUAAAAUUUUAUAAAAUAGUAUAAAUUUAUAAAGAUUGUAAAAAAUAUUAUAAAUAAUUAUAAAAUUAGGUAGAUGAAAUAACUAUAUCAAUAAAUGAAUUGAUAGAAGUUGAUGAAGUUUUUUGCAUCGAAAUAAGUAUGGGAGUUACUUUUGUAGGGAGUGUUACAUGCAUGCAUACAUAUAUAUUCACUGCAGAUCAUUACAAACCUAUGAAGUAAGAUAAUUUUAGGAUACAUAUACACUACACAUUGUACAAAGCCAAAUUUAGCCCGGGGCCCAACAACUCAAAAUUUUAGCCCAAUAACAGACCUAAAAAUAAACCCAACUAGCCUAGCCCAUUACAGAACCUGCCCAAAAACAAUUCCCAAACUAAACCCACCAGCUACCAGCCCAAACCCCAAAGUCCUUUACAAACCCAUACAACAUAACCCAAACAAACUAAACCCAAUCAGCCCCAACAAACUAAACCCAAUUAACCCAUUUACAAAUACAACCCAACAAAUUCAUCAAACCCCAUACCAGCAGACUCAAAAUUAAACAGACCGAGCCCAAUAACCCAAUAGGCCCAACUUCUUUAAAAAAUUAUCUGCCUAGGGUUUCAGAAACUGAAACCCUAGGCGCAGCAUUUGAUGACUUUUGGCCUUCUGCCAGCGCCGCCGUUGCCUCCCGGACGUCCCAUCGUCCACUUGCGCUGCGCACGUCCUAUCACCACCUGCAAACACGCAAACAACAGAAACACGCAAAGAGAGAAAUGAACAAGACAGAAGCAGUAAUAAGAAGGCUUUAAAAAGCCGAAACAAAUGUAAAAAAAGGGGGGUUCUUUUUUUUCUUUUCUUUCUUGUAACAUAUUCACAGAAAUAAAAAGCAAAAAUCAAAGGUGAUUUUCAAGUUUUGUUUCUGAUUUCAAUCUUUCCUUUUUAUUUUUAUCACUGUUUUUACUUUUUAUUUUUACUUAACGAAAAAAAAAAGACAAAACUCAUCGUGACGGAGUUUCAAAUGCCGAUCCGGCGCUUCGUCGGCCGUCGGAAGUGGUGGCGGUGCGGCGAGCGCAAAGUCGGCGCUAAGAGGACCCAAUGGUCGGGUUUUUGAGAGAAAAAAAAGAAAGGUUUUUGAAUUUUUUUUUUAAAACAGUGGCUGAAAUGAAAAAAAUAAAAAAAAAUGGUGUUUAAAUAACAAUAGAAAACGACGCCGUUUUGCCAUUAGGGUCAGGCGCCAAAACGACGCCGUUUUGGCCCUGACCCGCGCGGUGACCCGACCCUAGGGGAGGAUCCGCGUGUUUUUGACUCUCGGGUUAUUUGCGCAAUUGGUCCCUCCGAUUUUGUGGCGCUUUCAAGGAAGUUUUUCGCAUAUUUUCAAUUUUGGCCAUGAAUUUUCGCAUCUGUUUCGAUUUGGUCCCUCGACCAUUUCACUGGAACGGCGUCGUUUGGUCAGCGAGGGAAUAUUUCCAUUUUGGUCCCUCCUCUUUCAGUGCGUGUUACAAUUUAGUCUUUUUAGUCUUUUUAUUUCGAAUCUGCCCAAUUUUUUUAUUUUAUUUCGAUUUGGUCCUCUUUUUAGUACUUUUGCUAUUUUGUUCGUUAUUUUUGUAUUAUGAUAAUAAUAAUAAUAAUUAUUAUUAUUAUUAUUAUUAUUAUUACUAUUAAAUGUUAUUAGUUUUAUUUUCCCUAUACGUAUUCGUUACUAUUUUGUUUGUUAAUUAGUUGCAUAUUAUUUUUAGCUUUAUUUUAUUCUCUAUAUAUACAUAUACACACACAUAUACAUCAUGCAUUUACAUGUCUUUAUAGUAACUUAUUUUAUAUACAUAUAAACAUAUAUAUAAAUAUUUUUGUAUUCUAUAAUUUAUAUACAUAUAUUUGCACACUCAUAUAUAUCUAUAUAUAUAUAUUUUAAAAUACAUGUACAUAAAAUAUGCUUUCAUACAUCUUUAUAAUAUAUAUACUUACUUAUACUUUAUACUUUAUACUUUCAAAAAUAUACAUUUUGUUUAUAUUCUUUAUAUUUUAUAAUAUAUUUUAUACAUAGGUAUUAUAUAUAUAUAUAUAUAGAUAUUAUAAUUCACAUAUGCAUACAUAUUUUAAUUUAUAUCUAUAUACAUAUAUGUCCCUUUAUAUUUUUAAUUGUAUUCACUUUUUAUUUAUUUCAUUUUCAUUUAUUAUCUUGAAUGAAUGUUUUAAUUUUAUUCGUUUAUAUACGUUGUUAUUUGGUAUGUUGUAAAUUUGAUCUUUUAUUUAUCUUAUAUUGUGCUAUUGCUCAUAUCAUUUUUAUACUUUCGUAUUCAUUAUGGUUCCGUCAUGCAUAACAACAAUGUAAUUUGUUUUCACAUUCUUUACUACGACUUCGUGUUUUAUUUUACUCGAUAUAACAAAAUUUGUUUUGAAUAAAUACUAUUUCGUGUUUAGAUUUGAGAGAAUCGUACCCUAACUUACUGGGUUUCGAUUUUCGCAAUAAAUCUAAAUUUACGAAUCUUUUUAAACUCAAGUUUUAAAUGAUCUCGGGAUUUAAAAUAGAUCACAUCCUAACUUACUAGUCGUGACCUUAUUUUUAAAUCCGAGAUGGCUAAAAAAUCUUCUAAAUAAGUAAAUUUCAGCAUUUUUCAUUCGCGUAUCGAGAAUUCGAGACAUUGUGUCCUAACUUACUGGAUAUGAUCCUCUUUCUUGAAUAACGUGAAACAUGCUUCUUUUUCUAAAAAUUUUCAACGUUUUAACAAGGAUCGUAUUUUUAAAAUUUUCCAAAAUUCUCAAUUUUUGACAUUAAAAUAUUAAGUAAUCAACUAAGGUACCAAUUUUGGGCGUAUCGAGGGUGCUAAUCCUUCCUCGUGCGUAACCGACUCCCGAACCCGUUUUCUAAAUUUCGUGGACCAAAAUCGUUGUUUUAAUAAAAUCAAAUUAUUUAUUAAAAACAACUUUUUUCAAGGUGACCCAAUCACACCUCAAAAAGGAUUGGUGGCGACUCCCGUUUUUAUUUUCAAAAUCCAAGUCGACCCCGUUUUCAAUCCAAAAAAAUGGUGUCAACAGCUUGGCGACUCCACUGGGGACAUAAAAUAAGUGAGUCGAGCCACGAGUUGAUUAUUUUUUGUCUUUUUGUCGAAAAUUGAAAAUUUGGUUUAAAUUUACGAUCCUUUCAUGACAUUUCAUUCUUCAUUAUAAUUUUCAUCAUUGUGGUUUAUAAUUGCUCUGUUUGUUUAAAUUUUGGUAUCUUUUGCAUUGCAUUGCAUGACCUUUGGUCACACCUUUUAAGUGGGAGUGAGAAACUAGCCCUUCGUGAGGUUUUCACCUCCGUGCAGGAUAGUGAAUCACUUUCGGGAUACAUCCGUACCUAUGUCUUCGUGAGAUUUUCAUCUCCGUGCAGCCAUAGGGAAAUGUAUUCCCCGAACCGAACUCGGUCUGUAUGAUCCUAUAAUGGGUGAAGAUCGAGGAAUCUGCUGGUUCGGGUACCUUAUCUUUAGAGCCAAACCUCAUAUAGUGGACUUAGGAACUUAGCCUAGAUAGAGCCACUCCAAACCCCUAGUAGUCACCCGAAUAGGUACUUUCUGUUUUCCUUGUUUAUUUUUGUACUAACCCCUCUUAUUGUGCUUUGAUUAUGAUUGCAUCGCAUCUGCAUCUUAGGAAAGAGAUAUUGAUUCAAGUCCGAUUACUAAAUUAGAAAGCUUGUCAUGGAAUACGGAUUCCUUGAUAAAGUGGAAAACAAUACGACUUCCCAAAUAUAUUCUGAUAAACACAAGAAGGGCGAUGAAGGAGUUCGUAAUCUUUACUUCGUGGCCUAAGGGUUCGAGACGAUUGUCCAAAAGCCUUCGACAAGCUGACAAGCCUUAUGAAGAUGGGCAGAUGAUGGAUUGCGACCAAGAUCAAGAAAAUGAGCUAGCAAUGGCAUCUAUUGGCGAGAUUAACUCAAACAUGUGGAUGAAGAAAAAGACCGAUGUUGUUUCUUGGAAUAUGAGGGUGAGGUCGUACAUGUAUCCGUUUUAUGUAAGGGAAUUUGCUUUCUAGAAAAGUUUCCUAAAUGUAAUUGAAUCAGAAUCAACGUCUCUUUAGGCAUUCAUUUGCAUUACAUUGCAUUACAUGCAUUAAAAUCCAUUGAAAGAGUCUAAACGAGUAAAUUUAUUUCAGCUAACCUGGAAAACCAACCAACCAAACACCCUUGCGAUAUCCAAGCAAAGACUAGAGAAAUGGAACGAAGGUUGGAAAAAGUAGAGCGAAUGCAGAUUCAGAUGCAGGAGCAAUUGACUGAAUUUCAACAGGAGAUGAGAGAUCAGAUUCUAGGAUUACAGAGAACCAUGAUAAGUCAGUUCAACCGAUUGCUAGCUGGAGAAAAAAGGAAGGACCCGAUGGACCACUCAGGGGUUGAUAAUGAGGAUUUUGCUUAUUCCCUAUAUUGUACUCCGAUAAGUGCACAGAUCCAGCCAAAUGGGCGUUCACACGGGGCACCCUUUACUAUCAGAUCACAACGGUAUCAGACUGGUACAGCAACACCAAUGGGUUGCUUGACGGACCCAAGGUCCAAAGUGAGGAACAAUUUUCCUGUUGCUCUCGACAACCUGGCUGAAACAAAGCAGGCGAGGGUGGAAUACCUAAGUACCACAAAGGCCCCAAGGAAGGAGGGGAAUAAAUGGGAUAAUGCGGGCAGGUAUAACAAGGGCCACUCAAAACCAAUCACUGCGGGCCGACCAAAGACAGAAAGCACCAGCCAUCAGAGGUCUUCAAAGCAAGAAUCUGGAGUGAAGCCAGGUAUUGAGAAGCUCCAGUUCAUACCAAUUCCGAUGUCAUAUAGUGAGUUAUACCGAAGCUUAUUUGAUGCACAUGUGGUGUCCCGCUUCUACUUAAAACCCAUACAGCCUCCGUAUCCCAAAUGGUAUGACACGAACGUACAAUGUGACUACCAUGCAGAAAUUACGGGACAUUCAAUAGAGAACUGCAUUGCCUUCAAGAAAUUGGUUGAAAAACUCAUUAAUAUGGGUGUUGUCAGAUUUGAUGACUCGUCUAGUGCAGAAAAUCUGCUACUUAGUCAUAUUGAUAAUGGGGUAGACAUGAAAGUAGGAAGGGGAUCAGUUAUUUCUAAUUCAAGAGGAAAUAAGGGAAAUACACGGAACCAUUGAUAUUUCCAUCAAGAGAGGGGGUUCGAGACCCAAGAGAGUGUGAAAUUCAAGGCCUUGGUUCAGGACAUGAUGGACGAUAAGAGGAUGAGGCUUUGUGAGGAAAUUAAAGAGGAGGAAAACAUACGCUCCAUGUUGGCAAGUGUUCACACCAAUGACAUAUUUGAAGACACGAAUGAAAAGGAACCUUUUUAGAUAUCUGCCCUUAUAAAUCUGGAAUGUUCUAAGCAAUUAGACUGCGGAAGAAAUCCCUAUAGUUUUUAGGGCUUAUCUAGAGUAAUGUUCAGAAUAUUUUGUUGUUUUUAGCCUAGAAAUGAUAGAAAUUCCUUUGUGAAAUAGGCUUAUGUCUGAACGUUAUUAUUUUAAUGAAAUACAUCUUUGCGAUUAUUUUUGAGCCAAUUUUUUCAUUCUUUACGAAUAAUUCUACAUUCUUUCAUUCUUUCGGAUUUUUUUUCCAAACCAUCAUUCAUUCAUAAUCAUAUUGUAUAAAUAAUUAUUCAUAAAUUUAUAUAUUCUUUUGCAUAUUCUUUGGUACUUGUUAUGGGUCCCCAAAUAUCAAUUACGUGAAUGACUCUGUUACAGACUUAGAAUCUCCUUUUGAGCGAGACAUGUGUUUAGAGGGAUCUCACGCCUUUGAAGAUGACAUAGAUUGUAGCCUAUCUCUGGACUUGUUGAGGAUGGUAGAACAAGAGGAUAAGCAGGUCCUACCUCUCAAGGAAUCAUUAGAAUUUGUGAACUUGGUGAAGACUAGAAUUGACCUAACUACAGAGACGAAGCAAAACCUUGUUGAGUUACCUCCAGAGUUCAAAGAUGUCUUCGUAUGAUCAUACCAGGGUAUGCCUCGAUUCUUAUAAUAAAACCUGCACAACAGCACGAUGUCAGAAAUUUACAGUGCGAACGAUGCAAUUCUUUGCCGGGGCAAUGCCCAUUUGAAGUCGAGUUUCCAUCCCUUCAAGAUGUUGUUGGAUUUUAUCCUAAUUAAAGAGGAAGAUCCAAAGUUCUCUGUCGUAGUUGUGUCCCAAAAGGGCUUUAUGAAAGAAAUCUGGUACCAAAGAAGGUUUUUUACAUGCAAGAUGAAAGUGGAAGAUCUUAUGUGGAAGACUUUAGAAUAAUAUUGAUUCUGGUCCAAAAGCAUGACCAGGACUUGCCUGAUCUCAUGAGUUCAGAUUCAAAAAAAAAAAACAAAAAAACAAAAAAACAAAAAAAGAAAAAAAACCAAAAUAAAAAAAAUCAAAAAUAAAAAAAAUCAAUCAAUCAAUCGAAGCCAAAAAUAGGAGAAAAAGAAAAAAGAAAAAAGAAAAAGAAAAAGAAAUGAGAGGUCAAGGCGAAAACCCGCAAAGGGCGCUUUAAUUAAAGGUGGAUCUGAGUUGAAAACUCGAAAAAUGGCGACUUAAAUUUUGAGCAAAAUGGGGUAUGGACAUCACCAUUAUCGAAGACUUCUGAUGGGCAUUGCUUCAUUUUUUAGAGGCUACUGCAUGGAUCAAGGUCAUCUUAUACCGAUACAGAAUUUCAGAGAGGAUGGUGUUGGAGAAUGUAUUGAGCUUAAACAAUAGCAUGAUAGCUGAGGUCUCAAUUUAACUCAGAAGUGGACACCACGAUUUGUCACUGAAGUUCCUAGAGUUGAACAUCGAAAAUUGAAGGAAAAUGACUGAGACUCACAAGGAUUGACGUGAGAAAUUACCAUUUGCCCUCAUUGUUUGUCGAACAUCGGUACUGGGGCAACACCUCUCUUUUUUGGUUUACAGGAUUGAGGUAGUUCUACCUAUUAAAAUCCCCUCAUUACUUGUUGAAGGGAUCCAAUCGCGAUGUGAUCAGUUGGCCCUAGGAAAAGGGUUAAAAGCUAUUCAUCAGGAUCAGAUGUACCAUAAAUAAAUAAUAUGAGCCCAUAAUAAACAGGCUCGUCUCAGAGAAUUCCACAAGAGGGCUGGAUGUUGAAAAAAAUUCUCCUUAACGAAAGGAUUCUAAAGGGAAAUGAAUGCCAAACUAGGAAAGUCCCUAUGUUGUAAAGAAGACCAUUUUUAGAGGAGCACUGAUCCUAAGUGAGAUUGCUAACCCUAUAAACUCGGAUCCAGUCAAGAAACACUUCGUUUAAAGAAGAAGGAAGGACCAAGGUGAAAACCUGCAAAAGGGCACUUUGAGUAAAAAAAAGAUGAAAAAAAUGAAAAAGUAAAAAUGGAGAGGCUAAGGGGAAAACCCGCAAAGGGCACCUUAGGCCAAAGGGGAUUUGAGUUGAAAACCCGAAAAGGGCGGCUCAAAUAUUGAUCAGAUUGGGGCAUGUGGUGAUCUUGCUAUACCUGAAAGGGUAAGGUGACAUCUUGGGGCACCGACAAAGUCCUGACAGAGUCCUGUAGAUCUCCUAAACACAUGUCAAACUCAGGAAAGUCUUCAGAAAGUUUGUACAGAGAAGUUCAAGCUGCGAUAUCUGGGGCACCUAACAUUCAUACUAUUUAUAUAUUGAAUUUGUCAUUCUUGGAAGAUACAUGUUCUAAUCAAUUCCUCUUUUUAUUCUUGCUAUCCUUGAUAAUUUAUUCAUUUCGAGCUAUGCUCUCAAAUCAAUUCUAUUUUACCUAUCAUUAUGAUUUUUUUUGCAAGCAUGUUGCAUUAGAAUAAUGAUUAAUGGACUAAUAAUACUUUCACAAUGGAAGUUUUGCAUAUUACUCUAGAAGUUUCUAAAUAAUAUAGGAACUUGAAACAGGACUAUUGUUUAGAAAACACCAAGUUUAAAGGGUGAAAUAUCUAAGAAGGAAGAGUCUAAGUUAAAGACUAUCCUUUCAGAUUUUGUUGUCUAAACAUUGAUUGAACAAAAUGACAAGAUGUCGUAUUGGUGGCAAAGCUUCAAUGAACCAACAAGUGAUGUUUACCAGGCAAAAAGAAAAGGUCUUCUGGGAGAAGAAAAUUUUGCAAUUGUGCAUGAGCAUUUGGUAUAACACCUUAGGGAUGAGGUAAAGGACCAAAGAGUUUCACAUUCAAUAUCAUUAAAUUGCGAUAGGAGAAGAUUGAGAAAGGCCAUACAUUUCUACCCUUGGGUUACAGUGUCCCAGUGGAUUGAACUUUAACGUGCACAGUGGGGGGCAAUCAGAUUAAGUGUUUCUUUGGAUAUGCUAGCCGAGCAAGAAGGCGGUGUAGCACGUCAGUGAUAAAGCCUUAAUAAGCUUUUGUGUGAUGAUAACCUAAGCAUUAAGGAAUCAUUUUCAUGACAUUUUGUAUGUCAUUCAUACACAUCUACUUAGAAGCAUUUGAUUCGUUCUGAUCAUGUCAUCGUAGUCAUUAGGCAUAAUUAGGUUCAUUAUACAGGUCUUAUUUUACGGUGGAACAGACCGAAGAAUUGCAGAUCUUAUCUCCCUGAGAUUACAGUGGAGCGGAUUAAAUGAUCUUAUCUCUCUGAAGUUACAGUAGAGUAGAUCGCGUCAGGUCUUAUUUCCCUGAGAUUACAGUGGAACAGACCGAAGAAUUUCAGAUCUUAUCUCCCUGAGAUUACAGCAGAGCAGAUCAAAGAUGGUAAUCCUAUCUCCCUGAGAUUACAGUGGAGCGGAUUAAAACCAAUGAUCUUAUCUUUCUGAAGUUACAGCAGAGUAGAUCGCGUCAGGUCUUAUUUCCCUGAGAUUACAGUGGAACAGACCGAAGAAUUGCAGAUCUUAUCUCCCUGAGAUUACAGCGGAGCAGAUCAAAGAUGGUAGUCCUAUCUCUCUGAGAUUACAGUGGAGCGGAUUAAAACCAAUGAUCUUAUCUCUCUGAAGUUACAAGUAGAGUAGAUCGCGUCAGGUCUUAUUUCCCUGAGAUUACAGUGGAACAGACCGAAGAAUUUCAGAUAUUAUCUCCCUGAGAUUACAGCGGAGCAGAUCAAAGAUGGUAAUCCUAUCUCCCUGAGAUUACAGUGGAGCGGAUUAAAACCAAUGAUCUUAUCUUUCUGAAGUUACAGCAGAGUAGAUCGCGUCAGGUCUUAUUUCCCUGAGAUUACAGUGGAACAGACCGAAGAAUUGCAGAUCUUAUCUCCCUGAGAUUACAGCGGAGCAGAUCAAAGAUGGUAGUCCUAUCUCUCUGAGAUUACAGUGGAGCGGAUUAAAACCAAUGAUCUUAUCUCUCUAAAGUUACAAGUAGAGUAGAUCGCGUCAGGUCUUAUUUCCCUGAGAUUACAGUGGAACAGACCGAAGAAUUUCAGAUAUUAUCUCCCUGAGAUUACAGCGGAGCAGAUCAAAGAUGGUAAUCCUAUCUCCCUGAGAUUACAGUGGAGCGGAUUAAAACCAAUGAUCUUAUCUCUCUGAAGUUACAGUAGAGUAGAUCGCGUCAGGUCUUAUUUCCCUGAGAUUACAGUGGAACAGACCGAAGAAUUUCAGAUCUUAUCUCCCUGAGAUUACAGUGGAGCAGAUUGAAGCUAGUAAUCCUAUCUCCCUAAUAUUACAAUGAAGCGGAUUAAAACCAAGGAUCUUAUCUAUCUGAAGUUACAGUAGAGUAGAUCGCACCAGGUCUUAUUUCCCUAAGAUUACAGUGGAACAAACCGAAGAAUUUCAGAUCUUAUCUCCCUGAGAUUACAGUGGAGCAGAUUGAAGCUAGUAAUCCUAUCUCCCUGAGAUUACAGUGGAGCGGAUUAAAACCAAGGAUCUUAUCUCUCUGAAGUUACAGUAGAGUAGAUCGCACCAGGUCUUAUUUCCCUGAGAUUACAGUGGAACAGACCGAAGAAUUUUAGAUCUUAUCUCCUUGAGAUUACAGUGGAGCAGAUUGAAGCUAGUAAUCCUAUCUCCCUGAGAUUACAGUGGAGUGGAUUAAAACCAAGGAUCUUAUCUCUCUGAAGUUACAGUAGAAUAGAUCGCACCAGGUCUUAUUUCCCUGAGAUUACAGUGGAACAGACCGAAGAAUUUCAGAUCUUAUCUCCCUGAGGUUACAGUGGAGCAGAUUGAAGCCAGAGAUCUUAUCUCCCUGAGAUUACAGCGGAGCAGAUCAAAGACACUAUCCUAUCUCCCUGAAGUUAUAGUGGCGCGGAUUGAAAUAAAAGAUCUUAUCUCUCUGAAGUUACAGCAGAGUAGAUCGCAUCAUAUUGAAGCCAGAAAUCUUAUCUCCCUGAGAUUACAGCGGAGCAGAUUGAAGCUAGUAAUCCUAUCUCCCUGAGAUUACAGUGGAGCGGAUUAAAACCAAGGAUCUUAUCUCUCUGAAGUUACAGUAGAGUAGAUCGCACCAGGUCUUAUUUCCCUGAGAUUACAGUGGAACAGACCGAAGAAUUGCAGAUCUUAUCUCCCUGAGAUUACAGCGGAGCAGAUCAAAGAUGGUAGUCCUAUCUCCCUGAGAUUACAGUGGAGCGGAUUAAAACCAAUGAUCUUAUCUCUCUGAAGUUACAGUAGAGUAGAUCGCACCAGGUCUUAUUUCCCUGAAAUUACAGUGGAACAAACCGAAGAAUUUCAGAUCUUAUCUCCUUGAGAUUACAGUGGAGCAAAUUGAAGCUAGUAAUCCUAUCUCCCUGAGAUUACAGUGGAGUGGAUUAAAAACCAAGGAUCUUAUCGCUCUGAAGUUACAGUAGAGUAGAUCGCACCAGGUCUUAUUUCCCUGAUAUUACAGUGGAACAGACCGAAGAAUUUCAGAUCUUAUCUCCCUGAGAUUACAGUGGAGUAGAUUGAAGCUAGUAAUCCUAUCUCCCUGAGAUUACAGUGGAGCGGAUUAAAACCAAGGAUCUUACAGUAGAGUAGAUCGCACCAGGUCUUAUUUCCCUGAUAUUACAGUGGAAUAGACCGAAGAUUUUCAGAUCUUAUCUCCCUGAGACUACAGCGAAGCAGAUUGCAGCUGGUAAUCCUAUCUCCCUGAGAUUACAGUGGAGCGGAUUAAAAUAAAGGAUCUUAUUUCUCUGAAGUUACAGUAGAGUGGAUCAUAUUAAAUCUUAUCUCCCUAAGCAGUAGUGGAGUAGAUCGAAGAUGGUGAAUUUUACCUCCUUGUGACUACAGUGGAGUAUAUUGAAGCCGAUAAUUCUAUCUCCCUGGUUGGCAGUGGAAUAGAUUGAAGAUUCCAGAUUCUGUCCCCCUAAGGAGUAAUGGAGCAGAUCAACAAUAACGAAUCAAACCACGAAUCUUGUCCCCCUGAAAUUGCUGCGAAGAAGAUUAAAGCUACAAGUCAGAUUUUUCUGAAAUGAAGUAAAGUGGAUUGAAGCAGCAAGAUACAGUGGACUGGAACAAGGCUACUUGAAGAAGACGAGCGUCAAAAGAAGUCGAGACUCGGCGAGACCAGGCAAAAUUUAUCUUUCUUAGUCUUUGCUCUGUUAUCGUUACACGACAACGAGCAAAGAGGGGCAGCUGUACAAAGCCAAAUUUAACCCGGGGCCCAACAACUCAAAAUUUUAGCCCAAUAACAGACCUAAAAAUAAACCCAACUAACCUAGCCCAUUACAGAACCUGCCCAAAAACAAUUCCCAAACUAAACCCACCAGCUACCAGCCCAACCCCCAAAGUCCUUUACAAACCCAUACAACAUAACCCAAACAAACUAAACCCAAUCAGCCCCAACAAACUAAACCCAAUUAACCCAUUUACAAAUACAACCCAACAAAUUCAUCAAACCCCAUACCAGCAGACCCAAAAUUAAACAGACCGAGCCCAAUAACCCAAUAGGCCCAACUUCUUUAAAAAAUUAUCUGCCUAGGGUUUCAGAAACUGAAACCCUAGGCGCCGCAUUUGAUGACUUUUGGCCUUCUGCCAGCGCCGCCGUUGCCUUGCCGGACGUCCAAUCGUCCACUUGCGCCGCGCACGUCCUAUCGCCACCUGCAAACACGCAAACAACAGAAACACGCAAAGAGAGAAAUGAACAAGACAGAAGCAAUAACAAGAAGGCUUUAAAAAGCCGAAACAAAUGUAAAAAAAGGGGGGGUUCUUUUUUUCUUUUCUUUCUUGUAACAUAUUCACAGAAAUAAAAAGCAAAAAUCAAAGGUGAUUUUCAAGUUUUGUUUCUGAUUUCAAUCUUUCCUUUUUAUUUUUAUCACUGUUUUUACUUUUUAUUUUUACUUAACGAAAAAAAAAGACAAAACUCACCGUGACGGAGUUUCAAAUGCCGAUCCGGCGCUUCGUCGGUUGUCGUAGGUGGUGGCGGUGCGGCGAGCGCAAAGUCGGCGCUAAGAAGACCCAAGGGUCGGGUUUUUGAGAGAAAAAAAGAAAGGUUUUUGAAUUUUUUUUUAAAACAGUGGCUGAAAUGAAAAAAAUAAAAAAUGGUGUUUAAAUAGCAAUAGAAAACGACGCCGUUUUGCCAUUAGGGUCAGGCGCCAAAACGACGCCGUUUUGGCCCUGACCCGCGCAGUGACCCGACCCUAGGGGAGGAUCCGUGUGUUUUUGACUCUCGGGUUAUUUGCGCAAUUGGUCCCUCCGAUUUUGUGGCGCUUUCAAGGAAGUUUUUCGCAUAUUUUCAAUUUUGGCCAUGAAUUUUUGCAUCUGUUUCGAUUUGGUCCCUCGACCAUUUCACUGGAACGGCGUCGUUUGGUCAGCGAGGGAAUAUUUCCAUUUUGGUCCCUCCUCUUUCAGUGCGUGUUACAAUUUAGUCUUUUUAGUCUUUUUAUUUCGAAUCUGCCCAAUUUUUUUAUUUUAUUUCGAUUUGGUCCUCUUUUAAGUACUUUUGUUAUUUUGUUCGUUAUUUUUGUANNNNNNNNNNNNNNNNNNNNNNNNNNNNNNNNNNNNNNNNNNNNNNNNNNNNNNNNNNNNNNNNNNNNNNNNNNNNNNNNNNNNNNNNNNNNNNNNNNNNNNNNNNNNNNNNNNNNNNNNNNNNNNNNNNNNNNNNNNNNNNNNNNNNNNNNNNNNNNNNNNNNNNNNNNNNNNNNNNNNNNNNNNNNNNNNNNNNNNNNNNNNNNNNNNNNNNNNNNNNNNNNNNNNNNNNNNNNNNNNNNNNNNNNNNNNNNNNNNNNNNNNNNNNNNNNNNNNNNNNNNNNNNNNNNNNNNNNNNNNNNNNNNNNNNNNNNNNNNNNNNNNNNNNNNNNNNNNNNNNNNNNNNNNNNNNNNNNNNNNNNNNNNNNNNNNNNNNNNNNNNNNNNNNNNNNNNNNNNNNNNNNNNNNNNNNNNNNNNNNNNNNNNNNNNNNNNNNNNNNNNNNNNNNNNNNNNNNNNNNNNNNNNNNNNNNNNNNNNNNNNNNNNNNNNNNNNNNNNNNNNNNNNNNNNUAUUUUUAAUUGUAUUCACUUUUUAUUUAUUUCAUUUUCAUUUAUUAUCUUGAACGAAUGUUUUAAUUUUAUUCGUUUAUAUACGUUGUUAUUUGGUAUGUUGUAAAUUUGAUCUUUUAUUUAUCUUAUAUUGUGCUAUUGCUCGUAUCAUUUUUAUACUUUCGUAUUCAUUAUGAUUCCGUCAUGCAUAACAACAAUGUAAUUUGUUUUCACAUUCUUUACUACGACUUCGUGUUUUAUUUUACUCGAUAUAACAAAAUUUGUUUUGAAUAAAUACUAUUUCGUGUUUAGAUUUGAGAGAAUCGUACCCUAACUUACUGGGUUUCGAUUUUUGCAAUAAAUCUAAAUUUACGAAUCUUUUUAAACUCAAGUUUUAAAUGAUCUCGGGAUUUAAAAUAGAUCACGUCCUAACUUACUGGUCGUGACCUUAUUUUUAAAUCCGAGAUGGCUAAAAAAUCUUCUAAAUAAGUAAAUUUCAGCAUUUUUCAUUCGCGUAUCGGGAAUUCGAGACAUUGUGUCCUAACUUACUGGAUAUGAUCCUCUUUCUCGAAUAACGUGAAACAUGCUUCUUUUUCUAAAAAUUUUCAACGUUUUAACAAGGAUCGUAUUUUUAAAAUUUUCUAAAAUUCUCAAUUUUCGACAUUAAAACAUUAAGUAAUCAACUAAGGUACCAAUUUUGGGCGUAUCGAGGGUGCUAAUCCUUCCUCGUGCGUAACCGACUCCCGAACCCGUUUUCUAAAUUUUGUGGACCAAAAUCGUUGUUUUAAUAAAAUCAAAUUAUUUAUUAAAAACAACCUUUUUCAAGGUGACCCAAUCACACCUCAAAAAGGAAUGGUGGCGACUCCCGUUUUUAUUUUCAAAAUCCAAGUCGACCCCGUUUUCAAUCCAAAAAAAUGGUGUCAACACACAUCAUUAUAAACAUUGCCAAGGAAACAACACAAGGAAUCAAAUGGUACAUGCGACUGCGCUGAAUCAACAAGAAGUUUCUUCCAAAUAAUUAAGAAGAAUAGAAGGAGUGCAAUUUUUGUCUAACACAUACUCCUUCCAAUACUACUAAAAUUUAUGGGGCUUUGACUCCAACAUCGACUUUGACACCAUCGUCCCAAAUUUGGUCAUCUCAACCGAUGUUGUGGCACUGCCUGCUUCCAGUAGUCUCAAAGAUGAGGAAGUCUUCCACACCCCUCCUGAGUCUACGUCAACUCUUGCCUCCUUCGAUAACUACAACAACAAUGAUGAUCCAAUUAUCGAUGAUCGUGACAGAAACUAUGACAAACAGAAGCAGGAAGAGGACAAAGAGGGGUACGAAAGAAUAUGUACAGGAA
rnacentral:lncRNA from 1 species